rnacentral:lncRNA from 1 species
CAUAUCAGCAGGUGGGUACCUGCUCCUAAAGCCUUUCUGCAGCUCCUGGAGAUGGAGCUGUCUUUUGCUUCUCAGAUGGCAGUUCAGGAGAGGACAAAUACCAGAGCUGCCACCAGCCCUACCACCUUGCUUUUUCCACGUCCUCUGCCAGGUGAGUGUGGUGCGUGAGCUGGGGCUGAGCCCGAUGCCGCUUUAAGCAGCAGAAGCGAUCCCAAGGGAUGUUUUGUUCAGGGGAAGGGGACUUGUCCCGGCUCUCCACGUCCCAGCAGUUCCUGAUAUUUGUAGACCUUCCACAUAUUUCUAUCACCAAACUGAUUUUCAGCCAAGCACUGCAUAUUCAGUUCCUUCGUUCCUUCCUGAUGGAUCUGGCAAAAAUUCCAGCAUUCAGAAACACGGAUUUGUUUUCCUGGCCCUUAGUGCCUCUGUCUGUGAAGCAACUGCUGCAAUAAAACGAUUGCACCGGAAUGCCCUGGAGAUUCCCUCUCCGACGAGCAGAACUUUGAUUUCAAAAUAGAGAUACACGGUGAGGGAAAGAACUUGUUCUUUGUGAUCGUAUCCGGCCAAGGAUUUCCCCCAUGCCUUCCAGAUACGGUGCUUCAACUCCGUGGGUGGCCGCUGUGAGGCUUCUGGUGUCUCAUGGGACAGCGUGGGGAACACUGGGAUGGAGCUGCUGAACUAGAGAAGAAAAAACAUUAGGAUCUUGG